GAUAAACGCUAGCGGCAGGCUUAACACAUGCAAGUCGAGGGGCAGCAUAGAUUGUAGCAAUACAAUUGGUGGCGACCGGCGCACGGGUGCGUAACGCGUAUGCAACCUACCCGUCACAGGGGGAUAAUCCGGAGAAAUCUGGUCUAAUACCCCAUAACAUAUGGAUCGGCAUCGGUUCAUGUUGAAAUUUUCGGAGGUGACGGAUGGGCAUGCGUAGCAUUAGCUUGUUGGUGAGGUAACGGCUCACCAAGGCGACGAUGCUUGGGGGGACUGAGAGGUUUUCCCCCCACACUGGUACUGAGACACGGACCAGACGCCUACGGGAGGCAGCAGUGAGGAAUAUUGGUCAAUGGGCGCAAGCCUGAACCAGCCAUGCCGCGUGCAGGAUGACGGCUCUAUGAGUUGUAGACUUCUUUUAUUGGGGAAUAAUGGGUGGGACGUGUCCUGCAAGCGAAUGUACCCUAUGAAUAAGCAUCGGCUAACUCCGUGCCAGCCGCCGCAGUAA
rnacentral:rRNA from 1 species